rnacentral:rRNA from 1 species
GGAAUAUUGGUCAAUGGACGGAAGUCUGAACCAGCCAUGCCGCGUGGAGGAAGAAGGUCCUAUGGGUUGUAAACUCCUUUUGCUCCAGAGUAAUAAGGUCCCUGCGGGGGUCGAUGAGAGUAUGGGGCGAAUAAGCAUCGGCUAACUCCGUGCCAGCAGCCGCGGUAAUACGGAGGAUGCAAGCGUUAUCCGGAUUUAUUGGGUUUAAAGGGUGCGCAGGCGGACUGUUAAGUCAGCGGUGAAAUCUCAUGGCUCAACCAUGGAACUGCCGUUGAUACUGGCAGACUAGAGUACGGACGGCGCCGGCGGAAUGUGUCAUGUAGCGGUGAAAUGCUUAGAUAUGCCACAGAACACCGAUCGCGAAGGCAGCUGGCGAGGCCGGGACUGACGCUCAGGCACGAAAGCGUGGGGAUCAAACA